GUAUGGGUGGUUCAGUGGCAGAGUUCUUGCCUUCUAUGCAAGGUACCCAGGUUCGAUUCCUGGCCAAUGCA